CCUACGGGAGGCAGCAGUAGGGAAUCUUCCGCAAUGGACGAAAGUCUGACGGAGCAACGCCGCGUGAACGAUGAAGGCCCUCGGGUCGUAAAGUUCUGUUGUUAGGGAAGAACAAGUGCUAGUUAAAUAAGCUGGCACCUUGACGGUACCUAACCAGAAAGCCACGGCUAACUACGUGCCAGCAGCCGCGGUAAUACGUAGGUGGCAAGCGUUGUCCGGAAUUAUUGGGCGUAAAGCGCGCGCAGGCGGUUUCUUAAGUCUGAUGUGAAAGCCCCCGGCUCAACCGGGGAGGGUCAUUGGAAACUGGGAAACUUGAGUGCAGAAGAGGAAAGUGGAAUUCCAAGUGUAGCGGUGAAAUGCGUAGAGAUUUGGAGGAACACCAGUGGCGAAGGCGACUUUCUGGUCUGUAACUGACGCUGAGGCGCGAAAGCGUGGGGAGCAAACAGGAUUAGAUACCCUGGUAGUCCACGCUGUAAACGAUGAGUGCUAAGUGUUAGAGGGUUUCCGCCCUUUAGUGCUGAAGUUAACGCAUUAAGCACUCCGCCUGGGGAUACGGUCGCAAGACUGAAACUCAAAUGAAUUGACGG
rnacentral:rRNA from 1 species